rnacentral:lncRNA from 1 species
CAUGGAAGCAACUGCACGUGCAACUAGCAACGCUAACACAGGGUUAAGCAAGCAGUAACAUAGCCAAUGAGUGGUUUGCUAGAUUGAAUAGGUUGAAGGUUUUCAUGGCAUUGUUGAGAGGCUGAUAUUUAACAGGUGGUAGGCAACGAGACAUAAUCGAUAGAAACGGUAAAACUAGCAUGGUAAUGAUAGUAAUGGUAUCUGGGGAAAUGGUCAUCUUGCCUCAGAUCCCGCUUGGAAGAAGAAUGCCUCCGUGAAGCAGACGAACAGACGUAGUCGAACGGGUCCUCACAAUCCGGCACGCUGCGGAACUCUAUCGAGACGAAGCAAACCGGAAACACAAAUCAACACAUGGAAUUCACCACACGAUGCACAACACAAAUGAUGCAUGAGCAGCUGAAUACAUGCAAGACACGGCAUGACAACUCACACAAUCAAACACUACACAUUAAGUGAAGUUCAAUAUGCAACGAGUUGCAUAUUAACGAAACUCCACGUUUAUUUAUUUAGUACUAUCCCGAUUAGAUACACGGCAAUAUUAAAUUUGGUUAAACAUGGCAUGGGUGAAGCGUAAUUAAUCUACCUAUCUAGGCAUUUUAAAUGAGGUCGGAAAUGACAUAUAGCACCUCCGAGACGACCUCACAUGUUAAUUUACAAUUCUGUCCAGAUCUGAACUAACACAUUUAAUUAGUUGUUAAACAGCAAAACAAAUAGGUUCACGUGAUUCUACGCGUCAUUUCAAGCAAUUUUCACAUAGAGAACUUCUCCAACGGAGCUACGGUUCAAAAGAUACAAGCACCGCAAGAUAUGAUGGCAUGAAUGCAAUAUGUGUGCAACGACAGUCACGAGCACUUCGAAACAUACAAACAGAGAGAGAAAAUGAAACUACACGAGAUUCUAAGCAAGUUUCAUGUAGGACACGAUCAAAACAGAGCUAUGGUUCAAAAACUACGAGCAAAACAAGAUAUCACUACAAUCUGUCAAAAUCAGCCACAUAGCAUUUUCUACGCCCCACAAUUACGGGCUACACAACUCGGAUAAACUCAAGCAAGGCAUGACACGAAAGAGGGCAAGAUGCACUACUACAAACAACUAACAACAACUAGCAUGGCAUCAUGGAUCACUAGGAAAAGGGGACACAACAUAGCUUCCCACACACUAUUUCAGACUUAGUGAAAAUAACACCUCAUGAAAGUGCAGUUUUCGAUCUGAAGCAAUAUUGACAGCAGCAAAACCAUAAGCUACAGGACUCCAGAUGGCAUGAAAAUUUACAGAAUGCUAGAGAAACACAAGGGCUACAAC